rnacentral:misc_RNA from 1 species
AACCAUAGAAACCUGCGGAGUACCUGCGGAAGGAUCAUUAUAGUAUAUGGAAUCUCCAUUCUAUAAACCCACUCUGCGUAUCUUGUAACUGUUGCUUCCAUGGGACUUGGUUCCGCCACACCGGCUUCACGGCUGGUGAGCGCCCAUGGAAGGAGAAACAAAACUCUUCUUUGAAAUGUAGUCGGUCUGAACAAGUUUUUAUAAACGUUAAAACUUUUAGCAAUGGAUCUCAGAUCGGAA